CUGUGUAGUGGUCAGUGCUCCCGAUACUGCCAUAGACAGAUCCAUCUGCAGCUGGCACAUUGGCACAACUUCAGAAGUCUGUGAUCAAACUGUAAACCUUGCUUGAAAAGCGCAACGUGGCGAAAAGGAAACUUGAAGGUCUGUUGGAGGACACCUUGGACUGUCAAAUCUAACCUUCAACCCUGCCACUGCCUGCUCCCAGCUCUCUCUCUGUGGCCCAACCAGAGGAAGGUCCAAGGGGAAGCCGAAGGUGGUUCCUGACAAUCCGGAGAUGUUCACCGUCGCGGCCUUCAUCCUGGGCUCCGAUGGCUUCACAUCAGGAAGGCACCACUGGCAGGUUGACGUGGGGGGAUGGCAAAGACUGGAACCUGGGUGUCACCAAGGAGUCCAUCAACUGCAAGGGGAACUGCGUCAGUCUCCCAAGCCUGGCUACUGGACCAUACAUAGGGAGAAUGACAGCUUCAGGGCUUUCCUAUAUCAUCCGAAGGUGAUCGAUGUGAGAGGUAACCCUACCCAGAUUGGGAUCUACCUGGGCUACGAAGGAGGAAGAGUUUCCUUUUAUGAUGCAGAUCUCUUUUCCCAUCUGUUCACUUUCCACGCCAACUUCAGGGAGAAAGUGUCUCCUUUCUCUUCCCCAGGCUUGAAGGUGACCAAGAGCAAUCACGGUGUGCUGAGAAUCCAGCACCUGGACUUUGUGUGGGGGGAGGGAGGGCCUGCAGCUUCUCAGUUGGAUAUUUGAUAUUGUUCCUCCCAUUGCGCACCCCCCCAACUACCAUCACCAACCACUGUCAGGGCUUGUGUCCCAGAAACCUCUGCUAAAGUGUCAAUGCUGCCUGUGGAGGGAGGGGGUGAGGUCCUGGAAAUAUCCAGUGACCCUGCCCAAAGGGGACUCUCGCUGCAGUUUCAGGGAGAAUAUUUGCAAACUGUUUUUUAUUUCAAAAAUAUACUUUAUUCAUAAAAUAUUUGGAUGAUCUGUACAAUUGGUCAUGCCUUACAUACGUAAACAUUCUAUUUCUUUGCAUACAGAGAUCAGAAUUAAUCAUUCCUAUAUUCAUUUACUAUCCACAUAUUUACCUGAGGUGUCAGCGGAGCCCACUUACUGCAUGGGCCCCCUGUUCUUCUUAGGCGGGCAGACAUUACACGGUGGUCUUUCCCCACUGCGCCUUGGUAGCACCUGCCCCAAGCUUCAGCGCGUCCCUCAACACGUAGUCCUGGGCCUUGGAAUGUGUCAGUCCGCAACACUCAGUCAGGGUCAACUCCUUCAGCUGGAAGAUCAACAUGUUUCGGACCACCCAGAGAGCGUCCUUCACCGAGUUGAUGGUCCUCCAGGCGCAGUUGAUGUUCGUCUCGGUGUGCGUCCCGGGGAACAGGCCGUAGAGCACGGAGUCUCGCGUCACGGCGCUGCUUGGGAUGAACCUCGACAAACACCACUGCAUCCCUCUCCAGACUGCAGAGGCACAGGUUCUGGGAAUAGGCCAGACCUGUGCCACAUAUAACAACACUGACAGUGCUUCAAACCUGAUGACCAGGUUUUUUUCCCGCGAUGGAGAGCGACCGUAGCCUCCAUCUGCCCAGUUUCUGCCUCACUUUACUGAUACGCUCCUCCCAAGACUUGGCGCACGCCCCAGCCCCCCCGAUCCAAAUCCCCAGCACCUUCAGGUGGUCGGUCCUGACGGUGAAGGGGAUCGAGGAUUGGUCGGCCCAGUUCCCGAAGAGCAUGGCCUCGCUCUUGCCUCGGUUUACCUUGGCCCCCGAGGCCCGUUCGAACUGGUCACAGAUGCACAGGAGUCUGUGCACACAGCGGAUCCGAGCAGAGAACGGCGACGUCAUCCAUCUACAGGGAGGCCUUAACCUGCAGGCCCCCGCUGCCCGGAAUAGUCACCCCUCUCAGGCUCCCAUCCUUCCUGAUGGCCUCAGCAAAUGGCUCUAUGCAGCACACAAACAAGACUCUGUCAGCAGAGCAGGUGGUGUUUCAUUUUUCAGGAGAGAAAGUUUCUAACAAAAUGCCAAGAGGGUUAUGGAAGGUGAGAGGCCUGGUUGGUUGGGGUGUACUGGGAGAUAACAGAUUUCCUUUUCUCUUGACAAUGAAACUGCAACCAAUUUAAACCCCUCCCAGUUCCCCUGCUCCCCCCUCUCGGUUCCAAACAAUAUGGAGGGGCAGACCAGACCAGGCCUCUCAGCUCACAAAACUAAUCCAAUAACAUUGUGUUUUACAACAACAAAGCUGACCAUUUGAACCUCCUGGACUUUGCCAAGGCUAACACUCAGCGCACACUACUUUUCCUCAUUCUGUUGGUGUAUUCUUAUAACCUUCCAGUCAUUUACCCCGAUCUCUUUCCCCUUAAAUACUUCUAUUAUUCACAUCAUUGAAACGUCCCACAUCCUCACUGCACCUUUUAGACCUUCCUUGUCAGUGUCACCGAGGGAAUACAGUUGUCCAGGUGUAGCAAAACGUGUCCGCUGAAUUGUUAUUUCAUGAUUGGAGAUAUAGAUAAAUCAACAGCAUUUUAUACAAUUCCUCCACUGUUUACAGGGGGCAGAUGUGUCUGGUUACUCCAGUUCCUCACAAUGCGUGC